GUGGUGACUCUGAGGCAUCGUUACAAAUUAUUAUAUCGCGUUUCAAAAUGAUUUUUAAUACUGUAAAAACUGCUACAAGUGUAAUCGUUGUACGAAUGACAAGACUCGAUUUCGUAUGCGUAAAGUGAAAUAAGUCGUAUAAAAUGGAAAUAUUAUAAAAGCAAAGGGUUACUUCAACUUUUUAUUGUAGCCUACCAGCGAGUUUCAUUUACAAAACAGGUUAAAAUAAAUCUUCAAAGUUUCAAGAUUGACAUCUCAAGAAGUAUUGACGCAACAACUGCGGAACAAAAUAUUUAAAUUAAAACAUUGUUAUUAUAUUGCGUUACCUUGUCACGUUCUCACGCAAACUUAGGAUCCGUAUAUUACUUGUAGAGUUUGGAUCGCGUAGGUUACGUACAUUUCUUCUUCUUAUAUUCCAAAGCUGUAGUUUUGAAGAUGGCGCUAUCGUUACCGAUGCGGACUUCUUUAUGUGUUUAGCCAUUUUCCAUUGUGUGAAACGUAUGGAAGUAACAGAGCGCGUGUAAAUUGUCAGCACGUGCGAAGCUAACGGAAGAAACGAGUAAUCGCUGGGGUUUGUAAUGGAAGAACUUGAGAGAUUUUAAACAGAAAACGUAUUCUAGUUGUCAGUUAACGAGAACUGAUUAAACUCUAUCCAAGAUGAGUACGAUAUUGGAAAAAAUCGCCUCGAUCGAGGCCGAGAUGGCCCGCACCCAAAAAAAUAAAGCCACGUCCGGUCAUUUAGGUUUACUCAAAGCAAAGCUUGCUAAACUGAGACGGGAGCUAAUCACUCCCAAAGGAGGUGGUGGUGGUGGUGAACAAGGUUUCGAGGUGGCCAAGACCGGUGAUGCUAGAAUUGGCUUUGUUGGCUUUCCAUCCGUGGGCAAAUCUACUUUGUUAAGCACCCUGGCUGGUGUGUAUUCCGAGGUUGCUGCAUAUGAAUUUACUACUCUUACUACUGUCCCGGGCUGCAUAAAAUAUAAAGGGGCAAAGAUACAGUUAUUGGAUUUACCUGGUAUUAUCGAGGGUGCGAAGGAUGGCAAAGGACGUGGUAGACAAGUAAUUGCAGUUGCCAGAACUUGUAGCUUAAUAUUCAUUGUUUUGGACGUACUGAAACCUCUUGGUCACAAGAGAUUGAUCGAACAUGAACUAGAAGGUUUUGGAUUGAGGUUGAACAAGCAACCACCAAAUAUUACUUUCAGGAAGAAAGAUAAAGGUGGCAUCAAUUUUCAAACUACGUGUCCCCAGUCUGAACUGGACUUGGAAACUGUGAAAAGCAUUCUAUCGGAGUACAAGAUACACAAUGGAGAUAUCACGCUUCGAUACGACGCCACUUCGGACGAUUUAAUCGACGUGAUAGAGGGAAACCGUGUUUAUGUACCGUGCAUUUAUUUGCUCAAUAAAAUAGAUCAAAUCAGUAUCGAAGAGUUAGAUAUCAUUUACAAAAUACCACAUUGUGUACCGAUCUCUGCUCACCACAAAUGGAACUUUGACGAUCUGCUUGAGAAAAUGUGGGAUUACCUGCAGCUAGUUAGAAUCUAUACCAAACCUAAAGGUCAACUUCCGGAUUAUAAUUCUCCUGUAGUUCUAAACAGAGAGAAGAGAACGGUCGAAGACUUUUGCAAUAAACUUCACAGAUCUAUUGCGAAAGAGUUCAAAUACGCCCUUGUCUGGGGUUCAUCUGUGAAACAUCAACCUCAGAAAGUGGGAAAGGAUCACGUAUUGUGCGACGAAGAUGUCGUUCAAAUCGUGAAGAAAGUAUGAAUGGACAUUUACCGAUAACAUAUUAACGUAUAACCGAGAUUGUCAAAGCCCUAAUAUUGAUUUCUUUUAACUCCGAACAAGGUUUCACGGUCGCCUGGGCAACUGCGGGGUGACGAUCGUGAAACAUAUGGGGUGCUGGCCACCCCAUGUAUUUAAUGGAUUGAGGGGGUACACCUGGGAUAAUGUGUAGAAUGCGCGGGAACGUAGGAGAAAAAUAAUUAAUUGGAAAUGGAGAUAAUGAUUUUAUUUCGAUCUGAUAAGACAACGAGUUGGAGUUCGCUCCAGCUUUCUUCAAGUUCAGCGAUCCGACCAAACUAAGUAAAUUCAAGAAGAAUCAACGACUGGAGCCGCUCUACAAUAAAUACGAGGAACCAAACGCUUGACGAAUAUCUAGAGUCCGUAGAAGACUUAAUUAAGAUAUUUAUUAUACAAUCUGUAAAUAAUUUUGUACAGAGUUUCGUAUCACAUGCAUAUACGAACGAAUGUAAGUAACUUGUGAGAAGAACGUAAAAUCGCAAAUAUAGUAAAUUUUUUUUUCUUCGUUUACUAUGUUCGAUACAAAAUUGAAUGGAUUACUAUAUAACAUUAAACAAACUCGGGAAAUACAUUUAACGUUGAACAUAA